CUGUGCUGCAUUUCUCCAAACCUGAUGAAGAAACAAACUUAUUUACAUCUUGGAUGGCUUAAAGGAGAAAGUCACUCAUACGGGUUUGGGACGACCUGAAGGGUUUCAUGACAGCGGCGGUAUUCUGGGGUCCGGUCCAGUGCUGCUGGGGGUCUGGAUGGAGAUGACAGGAGUCAGAGAGCUUAUGAGAGAACAACACCACGCUGCAAAGACUUCCUGUGAGCCGCGGAGACACACAAUGAGCCGCGUGACGUCACAGGAAACGUGGACAUGCAGCCGUACACACAUCACUGGGACUCAAACCAUCAGCAAACCAAGUCAAGCCUCCUCUCAGUUAAUCUGCUGCCAGCGGAGCCCAACAAUAGCCGGGUGGAGCCGUCUACUGCCACAAUACAGCGGCCCAGCGUGAGUCCACCUCCACAACACA